rnacentral:lncRNA from 1 species
GACUCUUUUUGCCUUUGUUUUUUUACAGUUGUGACACUAACUCUAGUUAGUCAAAGGGCUGUGGGAGUAUGGAAAUUUCAAAUGCAUCCUGAAAUCCAAUUAGCUAAGAAUAUUGGCAUGAUACAACAUUCGUGACGGACUUUCUCCACAAAUAACAAAUCUGUGGCUGCAGAUAUUACGUCUCUUAACCUUGCCUGUGUUUCUUGUACCUGAGAGUCGCCACAACAGAUCGGUUGUUGCAUAGGAACGGCUGCUGACAUCCAACCCAUUUUCUUCACCCUAGUUACAUGAUCACUAUCACCCCAGAGGGGACUUAUCUGGUUCACUUGCUGGCGUAGCCAUUUAAAGAUUGAAGUCAUUAAUGCGUUGUGCCUCUGUCCUCUGCUACGCAUUCGGGGGAAAGGCCCAUCCUUGCUGUGCCACUCUGGAGUAAAACUGUGCAGAAGAUACAGGCAUGUGGGAAUGAAAAGCCCCUGUGGGAAUGAAAAGCCUCUAUAUUCUUAGAAAUGGAUGGUCUCUGGAAGUGGACAGCAUCUGGUGGUCCUAAGGAGGCGAUACCACAGCUGAGCGUCAGGAUAGCAGAGCUGUGUAGGCAUGUGCCAAGGAGGUGCGCGAGACCUGGGUUGUGAUCUUGGUUCUGCUGCGGCAUCUCUCUAACUCAGUUUCCUCCUCUGUCGAAUGAAAAUAAAGAAGCUGCUCCCAUUUGUCGACUCUCCUGA